UACAGAGGGGGCAAGCGUUGUUCGGAAUUACUGGGCGUAAAGGGCGCGUAGGCGGCCUUCUAAGUCGAACGUGAAAUCCCCGGGCUCAACCCGGGAACUGCGUCCGAUACUGGAAGGCUUGAAUCCGGGAGAGGGAUGCGGAAUUCCAGGUGUAGCGGUGAAAUGCGUAGAUAUCUGGAGGAACACCGGUGGCGAAGGCGGCAUCCUGGACCGGGCAUUGACGCUGAGGCGCGAAAGCCAGGGGAGCAAACGGG
rnacentral:rRNA from 1 species